rnacentral:lncRNA from 1 species
UGAGUUGGCAACCAGUUUGAGCUGACUUAUUGACUCAUAAAAACCAUCAGGGCCUUAGGCUGUCUCACUCCAAAUACUAGAACUGUUGGACCAAAGUGUCAAGGGACCUGUCACUCCAGGAAUCUGCUGUUCUCUUGGGAAAACAGCAGGACAGCUGGGCUUUGCCCUGACAGCAAUUCUGGCAUCCCACAAGGUCUCCUGGCAACUUCAGCUUCACCCUCAAUUGUUGAAUUGGAGCAGGUCAUCUCUGAAGGCUCCAAGACUCUGGGAUCUCAACCACAUCACCUCUCCCAAUAGACACCAAGUGUAUCAGCACCAUAUGCUGCUUUGAGAACUAUAUGCUGAGCUCUGAGGGACACAGACUUUCCAGA